UACGUAGGUGGCAAGCGUUAUCCGGAAUUAUUGGGCGUAAAGAGCGCGCAGGUGGUUGAUUAAGUCUGAUGUGAAAGCCCACGGCUUAACCGUGGAGGGUCAUUGGAAACUGGUCGACUUGAGUGCAGAAGAGGGAAGUGGAAUUCCAUGUGUAGCGGUGAAAUGCGUAGAGAUAUGGAGGAACACCAGUGGCGAAGGCGGCUUCCUGGUCUGUGACUGACACUGAGGCGCGAAAGCGUGGGGAGCAAACAGGAUUAGA
rnacentral:rRNA from 1 species